rnacentral:rRNA from 1 species
UACGGGGGGGGGCAAGCGUUGUUCGGAAUUACUGGGCGUAAAGGGCGCGUAGGCGGCUCGCUAAGUCGGGGCGUGAAAACUCUGGGCUCAACCCAGAGCCUGCAUUCGAAACUGACGAGCUAGAGUUCUGGAGGGGAAAGCGGAAUUCCUGGUGUAGCGGUGAAAUGCGUAGAUAUCAGGAGGAACACCGGUGGCGAAGGCGGCUUCUGGACAGAAACUGACGCUGAGGCGCGAAAGCUAGGGGAGCAACAGG